UACGAAGGUCCCAAGCGUUAUCCGGAUUUAUUGGGUUUAAAGGGUGCGUAGGCGGACUAGUAAGUCAGUGGUGAAAUCUCCGGGCUUAACCCGGAAACUGCCAUUGAUACUAUUUGUCUUGAAUACUGUGGAGGUCAGCGGAAUAUGUCAUGUAGCGGUGAAAUGCUUAGAUAUGACAUAGAACACCGAUAGCGAAGGCAGCUUGCUACACAAUCAUUGACACUGAGGCACGAAAGCGUGGGGAUCAAACAGG
rnacentral:rRNA from 1 species